rnacentral:rRNA from 1 species
AGCGAACGCUGGCGGCAGGCUUAACACAUGCGAGUCGAACGGGCAUAGCAAUAUGUCAGUGGCAUACGGGUGAGUAACGCGUGGUAACGUACCUUUUGGUUCGGAACAACACAGGGAAACUUGUGCUAAUACCGGAUAAGCCCUUACGGGGAAAGAUUUAUCGCCGCAAGAUCGGCUCGCGUCUGAUUAGCUAGUUGGUAGGGUAAUGGCCUACCAAGGCGACGAUCAGUAGAUGGUCUGAGAGGAUGAUCAACCACAUUGGGACUGAGACACGGUCCAAACUCCUACGGGAGGCAGCAGUGGGGAAUAUUGGAAAAUCGGCGAAAGCCUGAUCCAGCCAUGCCGCGUGAGUGAUGAAGGCACUAGGGUUGUAAAGCUCUUUUGUGCGGGAAGAUAAUGACGGUACCGAAAGAAUAAGCCCCGGCUAACUUCGUG